GGGGGUAUAGCUCAGUGGUAGAGCAUUUGACUGCAGAUCAAGAGGGCUCAGGUUCAAAUCUUGGUGCCUGCU
rnacentral:tRNA from 1 species